rnacentral:rRNA from 1 species
UACGUAGGGUGCGAGCGUUGUCCGGAAUUAUUGGGCGUAAAGAGCUUGUAGGCGGUUUGUCGCGUCUGCUGUGAAAUUUCGGGGCUCAACCCCGAACUUGCAGUGGGUACGGGCAGACUAGAGUGUGGUAGGGGAGACUGGAAUUCCUGGUGUAGCGGUGAAGUGCGCAGAUAUCAGGAGGAACACCGAUGGCGAAGGCAGGUCUCUGGGCCACUACUGACGCUGAGAAGCGAAAGCGUGGGGAGCGAACAGG